UGGGGAAUUUUGGACAAUGGGCGAAAGCCUGAUCCAGCAAUGCCGCGUGAGUGAAGAAGGCCUUCGGGUUGUAAAGCUCUUUUGUCAGGGAAGAAACGGUGAAAGCUAAUAUCUUUUGCUAAUGACGGUACCUGAAGAAUAAGCACCGGCUAACUACGUGCCAGCAGCCGCGGUAAUACGUAGGGUGCAAGCGUUAAUCGGAAUUACUGGGCGUAAAGCGUGCGCAGGCGGUUUUGUAAGUCUGAUGUGAAAUCCCCGGGCUCAACCUGGGAAUUGCAUUGGAGACUGCAAGGCUAGAAUCUGGCAGAGGGGGGUAGAAUUCCACGUGUAGCAGUGAAAUGCGUAGAUAUGUGGAGGAACACCGAUGGCGAAGGCAGCCCCCUGGGUCAAGAUUGACGCUCAUGCACGAAAGCGUGGGGAGCAAACAGGAUUAGAUACCCAGUAGUCCCUGAGCGGGCUGGCAAGGCGCAU
rnacentral:rRNA from 1 species